rnacentral:tRNA from 1 species
AACGCGAUAGUCGUGGGUUCAAACCCCACCAGGGGCAGCCCCUGUAGCUCAGUGGUUUAGAGCAUCGUGCUUAUAG